rnacentral:lncRNA from 1 species
UUCCCCUUAAUACUCCUAAUGUCACCAUCAACCACAUUGCAAAACCUCAAAAUGGGAACUCAUGAGUUAAAAAAAUGGCUUUACAAUAACACUCAUUAACCCAAUGGCCAAAACUUGAAAAAACCUACUUAAAAUAGGAUUUGGUUAUGUCUUCUGAUUACUACCAAUGCAAAAAUAAUGGCAUAUUGCAGUUGUAGGCAAUAGUAUCAAACAUAAAAGCUAAAUAAGAAUAUAGGGUCAAUGUAAAAUCUUUUACAUUUCCAAUCAAUUGAAAAUCUUCCUCU